CCCAAGGAUUUCCGAAAGUCAACGGACUCGAUUGGUGGUCAUUCUCGAAACCAUAGCGAUGGCUCCAGUAACUCAGGAUUUCCACCCAGUGGAACCAGGGUGGUUUUGGGCCGGGAAACCACGCCCACUCCUCAGUCUCAGUACGCUGAUCUUCACUCCAAGCUACCAAGAGAGGUCACCACGAAGUUCGAUGGAACUUCCAGAGAUGGAUUAAUCGAAAUGGUUCUUGACCUUCAAGCCAAAUUGGCUCACUCGGAGAAGAAACAAAGCGAACUCGAAGAUUAUAUCGAUACAAUUGUUGAUGAAGGUGAUCCAAAGUGCCCCGGAUCUGCUUCAGAAGAACAACAUCAUGGAAAAGAAAUACGGACGAAUUGUUACGUAAGAACGAACUCAAUUAAGUCAUUACCAAUGAGGACGACGAAACUCAUCACGUUCUCAGUUUACGCCAUUGCUACAAUUUUCUAUAUAUUUCCCUAUCAAGUGGUUAUGGCUGGAAUGGGAUGUAAUGAAAAUGAAUUGACACCAACGCCCAGGAUAUGUGUGGGGGAUGAUUCCUUCCAAUUGACCUCGCGUACCCUGAUCACAGACUACCUACCAUAUCUUAUAAUGUAUUGCCAUAUUGUGCCAAACCCUCCACCCGCCACUACCAAGCAAACCACCCUUUCUCUUGCUCCACACGAAUCCGUCCUAAUUUGGAAGCGACCCUAUCGACCUAAACGACAUGUGCUCUUUACUCGAUUAAGCUCGACGAACUUUUACAUUCCAACCCUUCAAUUUAUACUACUAAAAAGUACAGUGCGCGUUCACUUGACAAAUCCUUCUUCUGCCAUUCACCUGCGCCAAAAGAUUAAUGAUAAUCUGUUUAUACUGCUUCAUCUUGCCUAUGCUGUUCCUUACCUAUUAUGUACACUUAUAGACUAUUAAUGUGAUUGAAACAUCUUGCUUGUGAAACCAAUAAUAAAGUAUGCAAAAGCU